rnacentral:rRNA from 1 species
UAAUACGAGAGGUGCAAGCGUUAUUCGGAAUCAUUGGGCGUAAAGGGUGCGCAGGCGGCAGAAUAAGUCUGUUGUUAAAUAUUUUGGCUCAACCAAAAAAGUGCAAUGGAAACUGUUUUGCUAGAGGGUGAGAGAGAGAAGUGGAAUUCCAGGAGUUAGCGGUCAAAUGCGUAGAUCUCUGGAGGAACACCGAUGGCGAAGGCAGCUUCUUGGCUCAUUCCUGACGCUAAUGCACGAAAGCGUGGGGAGCAAACAGGAUUAGAUACCCUGGUAGUCCACGCUGUAAACGAUGAUCACUAGAUGUUGGUUCGGCUUGCCGAAUCAGUGUCGUAGCUAACGCGUUAAGUGAUUCGCCUGGGAAGUACGGUCGCAAGACUA